UUCUGUUCGAUGUAGAUGGACAUGCUUCACAUACUGAAUCUCCCAUGUUCUAUGGUUCUACUUCUACCACACCCUUCUUUGUUUUUAUAGAACUAUAAAUGCUACCACUAAAUUUUAGAUUAUGUCUGCAUAUUGUUUAGUAUUUUCUCAUGUAGAUCUGCACUGUGCAAACAAGGAGCUCAAAUAUCAAAGUGAAGAGAUGAUGCUCCUAUGUUGCGGAUACUGCCUCUGAUGAUAAAAUUCUGGGUGACCGUUUCCGAUGAUCUUGAAGCUACACAACAAAAAUACAAUGGAACGCUACAGAGUUGUUAUGAUAGAGCUUGUAUACUGUUGUUUACAUAGAUAGAUUCCAACUACAUCGACAAAGUAUGUAGGAUCUAAGGGAUUUUGUCUGGUCGAGUUCCUGUUUUAUUUUGUAGGAUGUAAAGGAUUUUGUCCUGUCGAGGCUCAGCUUUUUGUAAUGAGUCCACUGUUUGAUUGUAAAAUACAGUUUGUCCAAGGAAAUAAAUAUAUGUUUGUA